rnacentral:rRNA from 1 species
UACGUAGGCAGCAAGCGUUGUUCGGAGUUACUGGGCGUAAAGAGUAUGUAGGCGGUUUGGUAAGUUUGGUGUGAAAUCUCCCGGCUUAACUGGGAGGGUGCGCUAAAGACUGCCUGGCUCGAGUGUGGGAGAGGAAAGCGGAAUUCCUGGUGUAGCGGUGAAAUGCGCAGAUAUCAGGAGGAACACCGGUGGCGAAGGCGGAUCUCUGGGCCUUACCUGACGCUGAGGCGCGAAAGCUAGGGGAGCGAACAGG